GCUGCUGUAGCUCAGUUGGUAGAGCAACUGAUUCGUAAUCAGUAGGUCACCAGUUCGAUUCCGGUCAGCAGCACCA
rnacentral:tRNA from 11 species